CUACGUGCCAGCAGCCGCGGUAAUACGUAGGUGGCAAGCGUUGUCCGGAAUUAUUGGGCGUAAAGCGCGCGCAGGCGGAUUGGUCAGUCUGUCUUAAAAGUUCGGGGCUUAACCCCGUGAUGGGAUGGAAACUGCCAAUCUAGAGUAUCGGAGAGGAAAGUGGAAUUCCUAGUGUAGCGGUGAAAUGCGUAGAUAUUAGGAAGAACACCAGUGGCGAAGGCGACUUUCUGGACGAAAACUGACGCUGAGGAGCGAAAGCUAGGGGAGCAAACAGGAUUAGAUACCCUGGUAGUCCUAGCCGUAAACGAUGGACACUAGGUGUGGGGGAAUAUUUCUUCCGUGCCGCAGCUAACGCAUUAAGUGUCCCGCCUGGGGAGUACGGCCGCAAGGCUAAAACUCAAAGGAAUUGACGGGGGCCCGCACAAGCGGCGGAGCAUGCGGAUUAAUUCGAUGCAACGCGAAGAACCUUACCAAGGCUUGACAUGC
rnacentral:rRNA from 1 species